AUGAAGAUGAAGACCUCCCAUGUGCUGUGGAUCGGGAUCUUUCUGUCGGGAUUUAGGGAUUCAGAUGGAAUUGAUAUACCUGGAUAUUUCGGAAAAGAUGCCACCAUCACAUGUUCCCACGGCUGGGCUUCAACCAAUAUAAAGUAUUUCUGCAGAGCUCCAUGUAAAGACGAAGAUAUUUUAGUGAAAUCUGACCAGUCACCUACAGGAAGAUACACACUGAAGGAUUCAGGAGAUGGCACCUUCACUGUGAACAUCACUGAUCUACAGGAGUCAGACUCUGGGAUUUACUGGUGUGGGGUGGAGAGAACUGGUUUAGACACAUAUACAAAAGUCAAACUGACAGUAUCUAAAGAUCCACGCGAAAGCAUCACUACAUCAACAGAACCAUACACAUACAUACAAACAUCCACAGAUUCACACACAGUUACACCAGAAGCUCAUUCACAAUCAACAUCUGUCACAGCACGCAAAACCACCAGCUAUUCAAGCCCUGAUGACAUCACACUCUCACCCUCAAUAGCAGCAUCUGUGAACACUACCAUAUACAUACUAUAUGCUGUCGGUGGUCUGCUCUUAGCAGUAAUCAUGCUUGCAGUUGGACUGAUGACUGUUCAUCAAUACAGGAAAAAAAACAAGACAUCAGAAAGUAUGUGCACAUAUAUCAAUGAAUCCCUGUGUAAUAUCAACCAUUUAAAACCUGUUUAAAUUAAACAAAACCAUUACUAUGUUUCUCCUUGUUCUGUGCAUUAAUAUUAAUUCAUGUUGACAGGCUUCACGCUGCCCAACCAAAGCAAAGAUAACAAGGUGAGUAAUGCAAAAGACUGUGUACAUCACACACUGACCUUCAAAAAGGAUCCAAAAAAUAUCAAAGUUCAUAUUAUUUCGUAAUGACCCAGUGCACUUGUGUUGUCUUGAUGCAGAAUGAAGGUGUAUAUGAGAAUGAUCUUCCUUGGACAAAAAGCACACAGGUGAAACCUAUCAACAUGUCUAUGACCAGACAAGUGAAAAAGAGCCAAGAAGAUGCAGUCUACGGGAAUUCACAUGAACUUUAUGGAAAUCUCUGACCAUAUUGUUAAGCAAUGAAAUUCAGAGAACCAGUUUAAACCUGAUUGUUAUAAGAUCAAAAUCACAUUGAUUCUGUUUCUUUCCCUUUCGCUUUAUAUAUAUAUACAUUUGUCAUUCCACUUGUAGACAAUUCCUGCUCCUGAGUUUAUUUUGUAGAAUCAUAUUUCACAUGGAUGUUUGGUUGUAUUUUGCAUUACUACUCAUAUCAAUAUAAAAAUAUUACCAUUAUACAGAUAAAAUAAAACUUUAUAAUCUGUAUGUGUGUUUUUCUCAACAAUUUGCAUAUUUAUUUAUUAAUUAGCUAAGUAGUAUUGUGCAGUGUACUUCUCAAAGUCAUCUUUAAAGCUGCUGUGUAAUUUUAUGCUGAAACCAU
rnacentral:lncRNA from 1 species